ACGGAGGGUGCAAGCGUUAAUCGGAAUUACUGGGCGUAAAGCGUGCGUAGGCGGUCGCGUGUGUCGGAUGUGAAAGCCCCGGGCUCAACCUGGGAAUUGCAUUCGAAACUGCGUGACUAGAAUAUGGUAGAGGAAGAUGGAAUUCCACGUGUAGCGGUGAAAUGCGUAGAUAUGUGGAGGAACACCAAUGGCGAAGGCAAUCUUCUGGGCCAAUAUUGACGCUGAGGCACGAAAGCGUGGGUAGCAAACAGG
rnacentral:rRNA from 1 species